AACUGCAUGAGCUUCGUAAGUAAAAUGCAGGGCUCGAGUUUUUUCUUUUGCUACCACAUUAAUGCUAAUUACAAAUGUGUUGUCAAAGGAACUUCCUGCUUCUCUGAAGAAUCAAUCUGGCAUGGUUUUUCAUUAGGUGAGCAGGAUCUACGGACGUGAUUAAGUUGCCAAUGCCCUACUUCAUAUUUGUCCGUCAUAUGCUUUGUUAUAUGAAUACGUAGAUGUAUACAGAUCUAUUAACAAUAUAAAUGCUGUCUCUAGGAAAGAUGCUAGAAAUAUCAUAAGUCUGUGACAAAACUUGUUCAUAAUUGAAGAUGGGAUAUUCAGAGAGUAACAGAUCAACUACUUCGUUGAUGAGUCUCACUCAUUUCAAUACCCAACAUUCAUGUGUCACAGGUCGGUUGAACACGAUUGAUCAAACAGAUCACCGCGCGGCCUUAGGAUUUGUGAUCCCAAGUCAGCCUACUCACUCACACGCACCACACAAGGGUUGGCUGCACAAGGGGUGAAUGUAUUUCACUAUGAAUGAGCUGAGCUCAAAUGAGGGGGAGGGACCCCUUUUAUACAAGUUCGGGUCAAUUCUCGGCCGUGGAUCGUCCCUCCGAUCCAACGGCUGUGUUUGAACAAUGGCCAUCAUUACAAAUCAACUCAGCAAGCCGCUCAAGGGCUGCAAGCCUUGGGAAACAGCCAUAGGCCAGGCGCAAGUCAGAAGCAAGAUCAGGGGCAGCAUGGACGUGUCAGGGCCAGCAUGGGCGAGCAUGGCUGUUUGACACGGAGCAGGUGAACCACUCCUGGCUUGUGUAAGGGCUGGCCGAGGAUUGAUCAGGAGCUGCUUGCUGGUUGUGCACGGAUCAUUCCCUACAUUGUGCACGGGCGAAUCAGGCACGGAUCGCAGAUCGUGCAAGGGCCGAUUGGUGGAUCGGUCAGGGAUCAAUCAAGGGUCGAUCGGGGACUGAUCAGUGAUCGAUCAGGGAUCGAUCAUGGACUGAUGCGGGAUCGGUUAGGGACUAGUUGGGACAGGGAUCGAUCAGGGCGUUCCCAGCAAUGCCCUGGUGCGUGACAUGGCCGCGCACGGAUGGUCUUGGGCAUGCACCGUCCGUGCUCGGCCGUGUCACAUGCAUCAACUUCUACUUUUCUGGCCAUCAAAUUAG
rnacentral:lncRNA from 1 species